AAAGUCGUAACAAGGUCUCCGUUGGUGAACCAGCGGAGGGAUCAUUACCGAGUUUUUAUUACUCAAAACCCUGCAAACCUACCUUAAUAUGCUUCGGUGGCCGGCCCCGGGGGGGCGCUAUAACGGUCACCGACAGUAUUUAAAACCUCUGUCAUUGUAUUCUGAAUAAACAAAAAAAAACAAUCAAAACCUUCAACAACGGAUCUCUUGGUUCUG
rnacentral:misc_RNA from 1 species